rnacentral:rRNA from 1 species
UACGAAGGGGGCGAGCGUUGUUCGGAAUUACUGGGCGUAAAGGGCGCGUAGGCGGCCGAUCAAGUUAGAUGUGAAAGUCCUGGGCUCAACCUGGGGACUGCAUUUGAUACUGAUUGGCUUGAAUCCGGGAGAGGAUAGCGGAAUUCCCAGUGUAGAGGUGAAAUUCGUAGAUAUUCGCAAGAACACCAGUGGCGAAGGCGGCUUACUGGUCCGGAUCUGACGCUGAGGCGCGAAAGCGUGGGGAGCAAACAGG